GCUUGUUAGUCUUUUGUAAAUUAUAAUGUAUACACAAGGCGUAUGGGGAGGAGGAGCCUAACUAGACCAAUAUACCCUCACCUUUAUUGGGUGAGAUUGAGUUUGAGAAUGAGUUUUGAGUAGGAAAAGAAGAUAUCAUUGUUUGGUAUAUUGAGUUUGAUAUUUAGGGUGCAUUUACGAUUAUACACAUUGGCUUCUGCCGACGAACUAAUUUAGAUCCCUGUUCCCAAUCCCAAUUAAACCUCAUCCUCAAGCACCUGGUAUACCACGGUGCCAGGUAAUGUUGCCUUCUCUUCUUUUCUAACUCUGGAAGAACAGUGAAGAGAAUGAAAACAAAUACACGAGCCAAAUUAGGUGAAGAACUGAAACUAUGUGUAACAAAUUAGGAGGGAGGAAUACUUAUAGCCGAGUUACUCUAAACCCUCUAGUCAAUCUAUUACAUCGAAGUAGGUAAAAGAGAUUAGAAUGGAAGGAAUUCGUAGUUUUCGUUGAGAUAGAAAAAACGGUGAAGGCAGAGAAGAAGCAAUACUGGUGGAGCAAUUAUUAAUCGCUGCUUCAUAUGGAUGGAGAAUGAGAAGAAUCUACCUUUGUCGAUCCAUUUUAAUAGAAGAGAGAGAGAGAGGAGCCACAAAUCUUCACCGCUGGUCGGAGUCCUAGCAUUCUCCCUGAUUGUUUCUUAUCUGUAAAAGAGAAGAGAGAGAGAGUAUUCAGCUAGUGGGUGUAAUAA
rnacentral:lncRNA from 1 species